CCUAGGGGGCGCAGCAGUGGGGAAUAUUGGACAAUGGGCGAAAGCCUGAUCCAGCCAUGCCGCGUGUGUGAAGAAGGCCUUCGGGUUGUAAAGCACUUUCAGUGGGGAAGAAAGCCUUGGGGCUAAUACCCUCGAGGAAGGACAUCACCCACAGAAGAAGCACCGGCUAACUCCGUGCCAGCAGCCGCGGUAAUACGGAGGGUGCGAGCGUUAAUCGGAAUUACUGGGCGUAAAGCGCGCGUAGGCGGUCUGAUAAGCCGGUUGUGAAAGCCCCGGGCUCAACCUGGGAACGGCAUCCGGAACUGUCAGGCUAGAGUGCAGGAGAGGAAGGUAGAAUUCCCGGUGUAGCGGUGAAAUGCGUAGAGAUCGGGAGGAAUACCAGUGGCGAAGGCGGCCUUCUGGACUGACACUGACGCUGAGGUGCGAAAGCGUGGGUAGCAAACAGGAUUAGAUACCCGAGUAGUC
rnacentral:rRNA from 1 species